GACAGAGGGUGCAAACGUUGUUCGGAAUUACUGGGCGUAAAGCGAGUGUAGGCGGUCCGAAAAGUCGGGUGUGAAAGCCCUGGGCUCAACCCAGGAAGUGCACUCGAAACUGCCGGGCUAGAGUAUCGGAGAGGUUGGUGGAAUUCUCGGUGUAGGGGUGAAAUUCGUAGAUAUCGAGAGGAACACCGGUGGCGAAGGCGGCCAACUGGACGAAUACUGACGCUGAGACUCGAAAGCGUGGGGAGCAAACAGG
rnacentral:rRNA from 1 species